GGCGAUCUUGGGAAAACUCUAAGAACAGCUGGAUCCAAUGUCAUCUUUGUUGCUCUCACUGAAAUCUCCGACUCUGUUCUGAGAGGUGCAGAAAUGAAAGGUGUUGACGGACUGGUUAGCGGUUUCCACCAUGGAAUCCUUAAACUGGCGAUGGAACCUUCAGUGAUAGGAACAGCUUUGAUGGAAGGUGG